rnacentral:rRNA from 1 species
UACGGGGGGAGCAAGCGUUGUUCGGAUUUACUGGGCGUAAAGGGCGCGUAGGCGGCCACCGCAAGUCGGUUGUGAAAUCUCCGGGCUUAACCCGGAAAGGUCAAUCGAUACUGCGGGCUAGAGUGCAGAAGGGCAACUGGAAUUCUCGGUGUAGCGGUGAAAUGCGUAGAUAUCGAGAGGAACACCUGCGGCGAAGGCGGGUUGCUGGGCUGACACUGACGCUGAAGCGCGAAAGCUAGGGAGCGAACGGG